rnacentral:rRNA from 1 species
CCUACGGGAGGCAGCAGUGGGGAAUUUUGGACAAUGGGCGCAAGCCUGAUCCAGCAAUGCCGCGUGAGUGAAGAAGGCCUUCGGGUUGUAAAGCUCUUUUGUCAGGGAAGAAACGGUGGGGGCUAAUAUCCUCCACUAAUGACGGUACCUGAAGAAUAAGCACCGGCUAACUACGUGCCAGCAGCCGCGGUAAUACGUAGGGUGCAAGCGUUAAUCGGAAUUACUGGGCGUAAAGCGUGCGCAGGCGGUUUUGUAAGUUUGUCGUGAAAUCCCCGGGCUCAACCUGGGAAUGGCGAUGAAGACUGCAAGGCUAGAAUCUGGCAGAGGGGGGUAGAAUUCCACGUGUAGCAGUGAAAUGCGUAGAGAUGUGGAGGAACACCGAUGGCGAAGGCAGCCCCCUGGGUCAAGAUUGACGCUCAUGCACGAAAGCGUGGGGAGCAAACAGGAUUAGAUACCCUGGUAGUCCACGCCCUAAACGAUGUCUACUAGUUGUCGGGUUUUAAUUAACUUGGUAACGCAGCUAACGCGUGAAGUAGACCGCCUGGGGAGUACGGUCGCAAGAUUAAAACUCAAAGGAAUUGACGG